GUACUUCCAAAGUACAUAAUAUUUUAAAACUGUAACGAUGCCGAGAAGAUUAGCAUGUCGCCUGCGACGGAAUGACACGCAAAGUUGUGAAGCGUUCCACAUCUUC